rnacentral:misc_RNA from 1 species
UUUCCGUAGGUGAACCUGCGGAAGGAUCAUUGUCGUACAAAAUGUGAGGGGUAUGCGAGGGCUGUCGCUGACCCAAAAGUCGUGCACGCCCGAGUGUGUCCUCUUGCAUAAUAAUCCAUCUCACCCUUUGUGCAUCACCGCGUGGGCACCCUUCGGGAUCAUCUCGGAGGGGGGUUCGCGUUUUCACACAAACCCCCCUUUUAAAAUGGUAGAAUGACCACAUUUAUGCAAUCAAUACAACUUUCAACAACGGAUCUCUUGGCUCUC